rnacentral:snoRNA from 1 species
UGGCAUGCCGGACGGGCGCGCUGCUUCUCUUUAAAGAGCGCGGAUUUAUCUAUACCAUGUGACAUGCAUGAAAUGAGAAGUUUCCGGGGCUGCCAACCUCUCGUUAAGGUUUGCUGGUAGUAUAUUUCUGCUGCAAUA